UACGAAGGGGGCUAGCGUUGCUCGGAAUUACUGGGCGUAAAGCGCACGUAGGCGGCUUCUUAAGUCGGUGGUGAAAUCCUGGAGCUCAACUCCAGAACUGCCUUCGAUACUGGGAAGCUCGAGUCCGGGAGAGGUGAGUGGAACUGCGAGUGUAGAGGUGAAAUUCGUAGAUAUUCGCAAGAACACCAGUGGCGAAGGCGGCUCACUGGCCCAUAACUGACGCUGAGGCACGAAAGCGUGGGGAGCAAACAGG
rnacentral:rRNA from 1 species